rnacentral:lncRNA from 1 species
CGGUAGUCUCUGUCUCGGAGUCCGGCCUCACUACUCGUCCUUACCCGUGACGCGCCGUAUUACCGCGGCAAGGCCAUAAGCCUGUUUGAUCCGUCAUCGGUCUCGGGCUCUCCACACUAAAUAUAUUAAUCGACUUCUUCCACCUGACAUGAUUUUUUAUCACGUGCUUCAAUUCCACUCUAGAAAUUAUGAUUUACUAUCUAUAUCCAAAUUUCGUAGCAACAAAUUUCGUAAUUCCUUCUAUAUAAGAGCUGCUAUAAACUUUAAUAAUACAAUGUUAAUACAGGCUGUUAUUAGGUUCUUGAUUCAUUUAUUGGGUGCUUUUUUUAUUUUGUUAUUUUUGGGGAGCUCUAAUUGUGUACGCUCUGAGUGUUUGUGUAAAUAAAUAAAUAAAUAAAUAAACAAUAGUCUUCAUUUAGCAUUUCAUAACUCAGACUAACAUCGUAGCUCAG